UGGGGAAUAUUGGACAAUGGGGGGAACCCUAAUCCAGCCAUGCCGCGUGUGUGAAGAAGGCCUUAUGGUUGUAAAGCACUUUAAGCGAGGAGGAGGCUCCCGUAGCUAAUAUCUACGGAGAGUGGACGUUACUCGCAGAAUAAGCACGGGCUAACUCUGUGCCAGCAGCCGCGGUAAUACAGAGGGUGCGAGCGUUAAUCGGAUUUACUGGGCGUAAAGCGUGCGUAGGCGGCUUUUUAAGUCGGAUGUGAAAUCCCCGAGCCUAACCUGGGGAUUUGAAUUCAUAACUGGGAAGCUGUGGUAUGGAGAAGAUUGGAGGAAUCCAGGGUGAAGCGGUAAAUUGCGUAGGAUCCUGAGGAAUACCGAUGGCGAAGGCAGCCAUCUGGCCUAAUACUGACGCUGAGGUACGAAAGCAUGGGGAGCAAACAG
rnacentral:rRNA from 1 species